rnacentral:rRNA from 1 species
UACGAAGGGGGCUAGCGUUGCUCGGAUUUACUGGGCGUAAAGGGCGCGUAGGCGGAGAGUUUAGUCAGAGGUGAAAGCCCAGGGCUCAACCUUGGAAUUGCCUUUGAUACUGGCUGUCUUGAGUACGGGAGAGGUGAGUGGAACUCCGAGUGUAGAGGUGAAAUUCGUAGAUAUUCGGAAGAACACCAGUGGCGAAGGCGGCUAACUGGUCCAGUACUGACGCUGAGGUGCGAAGGCGUGGGGAGCAAACAGG